rnacentral:rRNA from 1 species
GACGAACGCUGGCGGCGUGCUUAACACAUGCAAGUCGAGCGGUAAGGCCCUUUCGGGGGUACGACGAGCGGCGAACGGGUGAGUAACACGUGGGUGACCUGCCCUCCAGCUCUGGGAUAAGCCUGGGAAACCGGGGUACUAAUACCGGAUAUGACUCCAUGACGCAUGUUGUGGGGUGGAAAGCCUUGUGCGGCUGAGGAUGGGCCCGCGGCCUAUCAGCUUGUUGGUGGGGGAUGGCCUACCAAGGCGACGACGGGUAGCCGGCCUGAGAGGGCGACCGGCCACACUGGGACGUGAGACACGGCCCAGACUCCUACGGGAGGCAGCAGUGGGGAAUCUUGCGCAAUGGGCGAAAGCCUGACGCAGCGACGCCGCGUGA